rnacentral:rRNA from 1 species
GACGAACCGUGCGAACGUUAUUCGGAAUCAUUGGGCUUAAAGGGCGCGUAGGCGGCGGUGUAAGUUGGAAGUGAGAUCCCAUCGGCUCAACCGUGGAAUUGCUCCCAGUACUGCAUCGCUCGAGGGGGAUAGGGGUCUGCGGAACUACCGGUGGAGCGGUGAAAUGUGUUGAUAUCGGUGGGAACGCCAGUGGCGAAAGCGGCAGACUGGACCCUUCCUGACGCUGAGGCGCGAAAGCUAGGGGAGCAAACGGG